UGUGAGCCUGUGUGCCACUAAUCUAGCGAAACUAAGACAAGGAAUGAUUAGUUUGCCUGGGAGAGGAGGGGAGAGAAACAACACAAGAAGAUGCUACUAGUGCAAAGUGGAUAGAAAGUGAAACUAAACUCACUUGGGCCAGACUUGUGGAAGAAUACUAAUGAGCUGAGAAAUGCAUUCUGGAAGAGCAUGAGAAGCCAGCCAUGGAAAACAGCAUAUUCUUGGGGUGCUCUGAACUCCUGGAGAGGAUGAGGAUGGAGAAGAAACAAUUCUGGAUCUGAGAAAUGCACCUCUUAGAAUAGAAAACCUGAAUGCUGACUCUGCUUGCUACACUCCAGGAAAUCAGAACGGAUGUUUGGCUUCAUUUUGAAGACAAAAACCACAUCCCACUUAGGACCUUGAAUGAUCCACUAUGAGAAUAUUGGAAUCUUUACCCAAAACAUUUAAAAUGUUUGCCAGAGAUUAACCUCUCACAGGCCGUUCCUAAUGCAGCAAUGCAAGAGCAGAUAGCAAGUACCUCAGGAAUCUCCACGAGCACAAGAUGUGUCUGGGACACCAUGUGCUACGUGUGCCAUCUGGUGGAAAACUUUGAGCUGAAGUACAGCUUAACACCAAGUUUAAAAGCUUCGUUAAGAAAGACUCCCAGAAAACAGUUGCCACUACCUAAAGCGAGUUGCCUCAGUCCGUUAGACAAAGGACAACCAAGAGUAUGUUUCACUUCACCAGCCCAGCACUGUGACACCUGAAGACAAAAUAUGGCAGAAUGCCUAAGGACAAGGGAACUGCAGAAAUUACAAUCUUGUUUCACUUCUACUGAAUCGUGUUAAAUGGCAGUUGUAAUUAAGCCACCAUUUGUAACACAGGUUCUGUACGUACAUCAAAAUGCAAAGGAAAGCAAUCCGAGGUACAGAGGCUUUUUAAAAGAGCUUUUUACUUUUAAACUGAAGUUAACUGGCAAAGGCUGAUGUUCACUCUGCAGCUACUGUGCACUGGGAUUUCAGACAGCUGAAGUAGCAGCCGCAGCAGAUGCUCAUUGGGUUAAAGUUUCUUGAAUGUUGAGAUUGAAAAGCCAAAUGUUAUGUCUGACUAUGAGAUUUCUAACCUUAUUCACACCAAACGUCUGCAAAAUUGGUACCACUGCUGUAUCAAACCAUUACCUUGAAAUUCCGGGGAUGGAAAGUACUCAUUAUCUGCAGGAAAUGAUUAAGUGACAAUGUUAUAUCCUAAAUAAUGAAACUGAACAUGGGAUUUCCCAGUGCAGCCAGAAGGGAAAGCACACAAGAUCACCUUUAUACUGUCUCCAGCUGUCAUCUGUGCAUUAUGCUGCAGGCAAGCAAUCACAACACUUAUUUUUGCAGGGCUCUCUGGAGGACUGAUCUGUUCCUCAGUCACUUCAUUAAGACUUACAUAAACUUCCAUCUUGCUGUAUCUUGAUCAAAUGAACAGCUGACUGCAAUGCACUUCUGCAGGCUUCUACUCUACUAGCACAGGUCUCUACUGAGUAAUAUGCUGUAAUCAUUCUGUCUCCUUAAGAAUCAGACUGACUGCACAAAGGCAGAGCAGAUAUGGAUCCCAUUUAAACAAGUGCUAACAUUAAUGAAAUAUGUUGCUGGACUUCAAGACCUGAAACGCUGUGAGCUUCUAUGUGACCAAUCUGAGUUGAACCAUCAGUUUCUAAGGUUUGUGUAGAGAUACUUUCAAUUCAGUUAGUUGGACUUCUCUAAGUAGGUGAGAAGGACUUUUACAACUGAACUUACACAAGACAGCUGAGGUCUGCCAAGUCAUCAAUGAAGUCAAACAACUGGCUGAUGUCGUACGUAAUGGAUGGACUGUUGGGAUUCAUUCUCUUCAGAUGCUCCUCAUACAUUUUACAGACUCCUGUGGAGAAGUGAGAUGAAGAAAGUGGUAUUAAAAACCCAACAACUGUGUCUACUGAAACUUCUUCAGCUACUGAAUCACAGACACGAGGAGAGUUUAGAGAUGGCUAGAAUGAAAACAGGCAUAAACUUCUUCACUCAGCUGCUGCAGAGUUGAAAUACUUCUGCUCUAGUUAUUUGCACUGAAAGGUGGUACUAUAAAAUCAGAUGAGAUGCAUGGAGGGAAGCACUAUGAUCACCUAGAGGAAAAAGCUUUCUAGCUUUGUCAAAGAUGUAGCUUUCCAUGCAGUAAGCUGCAACAGAAACAUGAAAUUCUUUCUAACAAUUUUAAGCCAGCAGUUGCAGCAUAUAUUCCUACCACAGAAACACCUGAGGAAGAGUUAGUGUCAAGUAGAGCUACUCAAAUCUCAUGAGAGAGAUUGUUCUUGAUUAAACAGGGCUACUGAGGUAACAGUGACAGCACAAGCCUGUGUAUGAAUUGAAACCAGUUUUAUUUAAGCUAGUUCCUAAAUAAUUCAGGUAUAUUUAAGAGGAAUAUUAAGAGGUAUAUUUAAGUGAGCAGAGAGGCUUAACAUGGUCUUUACUAUGCUUUUUCAGCCUCACAACAUCUCUUGGGGUUAGAAUUUUUGAUGUUAAGUGAAGUUCCAUGUCUAAAUCCUACAGCUGUAGUGUUUGGAAACAUUAAAAAUGGGGUUUGACCUACAAUUUUUGACUACCAUGUCUGCACCCACCUUCCAUGCACUCAUUCACCGAUUCAUAGUCAGCAUAUGUUCUGCCUUCUGGCCUCUUGGUAGGCUGGACAAGUAGAAUUGUGUGAGACUGGAAAGCAAAAACAAAGCCAAGAAAACAGUUUACUUGCAAAAUUUUAAUCCUUUUAUUGCUAGAUGUAUCCGAAUGAAGCCUUAAAAAGAAGAGUAGCAUUAAAACCCCACGCAAUCAAUGAAGGACACAGGCAUUUUUCCAAACAGCACUUACUGUUCAUAUAGGAUGUGUUAGUAACUUUUGUUUUCAAUCCACCCUAUCAA